UACGUAGGGCGCAAGCGUUAUCCGGAAUUAUUGGGCGUAAAGAGCUCGUAGGCGGUUUGUCGCGUCUGCCGUGAAAGUCCGGGGCUUAACCCGGAUCUGCGGUGGGUACGGGCAGACUAGAGUGCAGUAGGGGAGACUGGAAUUCCUGGUGUAGCGGUGAAAUGCGCAGAUAUCAGGAGGAACACCGAUGGCGAAGGCAGGUCUCUGGGCUGUAACUGACGCUGAGGAGCGAAAGCAUGGGGAGCGAACAGG
rnacentral:rRNA from 1 species